UUCCUUUUAUCGUCAAUCCAGAGCUCUACGGCUGCUAACGCAAGAGGCCAAAAAUGUUUUGGAGGAAGAAAAACAAAGGCAGGAAGUGGCGGCGGCCUGACGGUGCGUGAGUGUCUGCGAAGGGAGGGAGCUGUUUCAAUCUCUUCUUGUUUUUCUGAACGUCAAGGUCUAGGCGG
rnacentral:lncRNA from 1 species